rnacentral:lncRNA from 1 species
CUUUCUUCUCUUCAUUGACUCUUACUUCUAGAAUAAUGCCUUCUUGCACCUUCUUCUUUAUAUUCAUCAGCUUCAGGUCUGUAGCUUGAGCGGCUUUAACAUUAUCGAUUAAAGUCGAUUCUACUCGUAUAUCAUCACGUGAGUCCCUAGAGUCUUUAACUCUAUCUUCAUCAUUUGUAAGUUAUACGAGAUGAGUCUUUGACAAUAUCGUACUCG